GAUGAACGCUAGCGACAGGCUUAACACAUGCAAGUCGAGGGGCAGCAUAGAAGUAGCAAUACUUUGGUGGCGACCGGCGCACGGGUGAGUAACGCGUAUGCAACCUACCUAUCAGAGGGGGAUAACCCGGCGAAAGUCGGACUAAUACCGCAUAAAACAGGGGCACCGCAUGGUGAUAUUUGUUAAAGAUUAAUUGCUGAUAGAUGGGCAUGCGUUCCAUUAGGUAGUUGGUGAGGUAAUGGCUCACCAAGCCGACGAUGGAUAGGGGAACUGAGAGGUUGGGCCCCCACACUGGGACUGAGACACGGACCAGACUCCUACGGGAGGCAGCAGUGAGGAAUAUUGGUCAAUGGGCGAGAGCCUGAACCAGCCAAGUCGCGUGAAGGAAGAAGGAUCUAUGGUUCGUAAACUUCUUUUGCAGGGGAAUAAAGUGGAGGACGUGUCCUCUUUUGUAUGUACCCUGAGAAUAAGGAUCGGCUAACUCCGUGCCAGCAGCCGCAGUAACAC
rnacentral:rRNA from 1 species